UUUCCGUAGGUGAACCUGCGGAAGGAUCAUUAAAAAAUAUCACUCGAUUGAGAGUGAUUUAAUAAUCAUCCUACCCUUUGUGAAUUUGUUUGUAAUGUUAAAUUUAUGUUGUCUAUCCCUUGGAAAGUUUGUUCAUUUAAACCCCAAGGGAAUAGGCUUUCAUAGACCUUUUUUUUAAAAUUAAACAUUUUGUAUUCAUUUGUCUAAAAUUUAUUUUUAAAAUAAUUUAAAAACAACUUUUGACAAUGGAUCUCUUGGUUCUCGCAACGAUGAAGAACGCAGCAAAAUGCGAUAAGUAAUGUGAAUUGCAGAAUACGUGAAUCAUCAAAUCUUCGAACGCAUAUUGCACUUUUUUAGUUUACUAAAAAAGUAUGUCUGUUUGAGUAUCAGUAAAAUAUUCUCAUAAAAAAAAUUUUUUUUUUUCUAUGGUCAUGAGUGUUUUACAACGAUAAACAAGUUGUUUCACUUUAAAUUGAUUUUAAAAGCCAAUUUUUUUUGGUUUUUAUCUAAUAAAAUUGGAUAAAAUUUUCCCGUAAAAAGGAAUAAACUUUUCAGUUUAAAGGGUAAAAAUUAAAAUAUUAAUUGUUGCUUAAUUUAAAAGGAAAAUUUAAUUUAAAAAUAACUUGAUCUCAAAUCAGAUAAGAGUACCCGCUGAACUUAAGCAUAUCAAUAAGCGGAGGAAAAGAAACUAACAAGGAUUCCCUUAGUAACGGCGAGUGAAGCGGGAAGAGCUCAAAUUUGAAAUCUUCAAGGUUCUACCUUGACGAAUUGUAGUUUAAAGAAGUGUUUUCUGUUAGAGGAGUAGCAAAAGUUCCUUGGAAAGGGACAUCAUAGAGGGUGAGAAUCCCGUAUUUGGUUAUUCUUUCUAGCUUUGUGAUACACUUUCAAAGAGUCGGAUUGUUUGGGAAUGCAGUCCAAAAUGGGUGGUAAAUUUCAUCUAAAGCUAAAUAUUGGCGAGAGACCGAUAGCGAACAAGUACCGUGAGGGAAAGAUGAAAAGAACUUUGAAAAGAGAGUUAAACAGUACGUGAAAUUGUCAAAAGGGAAGCGUUUGACACCAGUGUUGUUUUUCCGAAAAUCAAUUAAGAAGGGCUUGAUUUUGUGUUGUAUUGACCUUAUCAGCUUUCUUCACUCUUUUUCGAGUCUUUCUUAAUGCUCUUUUCGGUUAACAAGUCAACAUCAAUUUCUUUUGUUGUAAAAGGGUAUUUGGAAGGUGGCUUUCUUUUCGGAGAAAGUGUUUAUAGCCUUAUACCCCUACAAUCGGAGAGAUUGAGGUCUGCAGCGUAGAUCCUUCGGGGCUAGAUACACUUGUGCUAAGUUAUAGCUUUUCAUAGACAACUUGUUGACUAUGUUUAGUCAUGUAGCUUACCCGCUUGUGCUAUUU
rnacentral:misc_RNA from 1 species